CAGGAUUAGUAUGUGCAUAGACACAGAAUAAUGUGCAGACACACAAAUCACUGCUUUCCUAUGGACUUCUUCUUCUGGCACUGAUUUUGUUGCUGUUGUUGGACACAUGCAUUAUAAAUUAAAGACAGAAAAGGCCUCUCUGCAUUUGAUCUUGUAUGCUGAAUACUGAGAAAGAUACUUCUGCAUGAAACAGGAUUUCUAUUGAACAUUCGUGGAAAAAUGCUGUAUGCAUCACGCCCGGUUCAAGGAGAAAGUGAUGUUCUAAACAGAUGACACCCAGUUCCUGGUGCAAAGGGUACUCCUCUGACUGAAAGAUAUCAGCUGAAAGGAAAUAAUUCAUCCUGGAUGACAAAAUGGUUUAUAAAUUGUAUCCUAAUAAAACAUUGCUCCAAACUCACAAAUUGCAGAGAUUGAAGUGACCCUGUAUGCACAGUGAUUUGCAUGAUAUUCAUUGUGUUAAGGUUGAAAACAACAUUAACAUCUUUACUUUAAAACGAACAGAUUUAUUCUAAAUUGCACUAAUAAAAUGUAUUGUUAGCAAACAAAGGUCAGUGGAAACCAUAGCACACAGAAUAUGCAGAAAAAUAACAGAGUUUGAGAAAGAAAAAGAACAAAUCUACUGGCAUAGCACAAGUGGCUCAUCAGAACAUCAUUCUAACAAAUGAAAUCUAAACAAAUGAAAUUAUAUAACCAAAAGCAUAGUCAUCUAUUAUGCUCAGUAUUAAAGCAAAACAGUACUUAAGGAAAGCGAUGCAGAACAAAAUUAUAUUAGUUUCCUGGAUCACCUUCAAUGAUAUGAAAUUUAAAUUAUGAUGUUUCUGUGCUCAUCCUCUUGUCUUCUUGCAAAUUUUAAACCUGUAAUUUGAAUGCAAAAAUUCUACCAAAUUAAAAUACAAUUGCUACCUCUUCUUUACAGCAUGAUCAUCUAAUUCUGAUGCCUUUGCAUCUUAUUUUGUUGUUUUUAGAACUGACCUGCAAUGUUAAUAAUUCAAGAAAGACUGAGACUCCAAGGCAUUUUGUUAUGACACAGCUUUGGUCUUAGCUAUUGCAUCCAGAAUUUGUAAUAGAUUUUUAAGCCUCUGUGUCGUAAGGAAAAUAUGACCCUCUCACCAAUUAAAACACACACACACACUCUCAGAAUCACACAAAUAGACAAGGAGUCAAAGACAACAUAUGAUUCUAUGAAUAAUAAGUUAAAUAUUCUGGAUAUUUACAUAUUUACAGCCAUAUACAUACAGUUAAAACUGCUCUCUAUAAGGAAUCCUAAACUGUCCCUAAAAAUAUCAUCCAAAGAUACCAUCAACAGCACAUUUAUCAAAUGAAGAUAUUUUGUGCAGAUUAUCUGGAUGUACAAAGUUCUUGUAGCUAGUAUACUGAAUAAAUGAACUUUCGGGGGGGGUGGGGGAGGACAUUCAGUGAGCCAGUUUUUCCUCUACCGGUGAAGCAGUAAAAAGCUAGAUGGCUGUUUUUCUCUGUCUGUCUCAAAUGUAUUUAUCCUACUCUUGCACUUAUGUAAACAUCCUGCAUAUUAAUGUUUACUUUUAAACACAGUCCUUAAAAAGGCUUGAUUUAAGUACCCAACAUAAGCUUGCAUUGCACACUCGUGGAGAAAAGAAUAGAGUGAAAACAGAACACGUAAGGAAGUCAAUGCAUGAACAGUCUACAAAACGCACUGUAAAAUCAGAGAUACAGUGGCAUUUUGAAAAUAGUAGAUCUCUGUUAGGGUAAUCAAUUUAAACUCAAUGAUAAUCAUAUAAAAUAUGUGUGAAAGACAAAACUGCUUUUCUCUUUUGUCUCAAAGCUUGCUUCGUGAGGCCUUUCUGGUGAUAAGACUAACUGAUAACUGCAAAUUAUCUAGGGGGGCGAGUGGUGGGUGUCACUGUGCCACAGUACUUCUGCUCAUGAUUGUAAAGAUAAGCAGAAGUGGGACAAGCAGUCUUUUUUG
ensembl:lncRNA